GAAAAUGGUCCACUACGAGGUUCAAGGUGCAUGCUCUGGAGAUAUGCCUUUUUUGAUGGGACCAAAUGAAGAUGCAGUUCCAGAUGAGUGCCCCUUUUUGAGGGUUUUCUACUAUUCAGAAGUACUUUCUCAACAUCCGUAGGAAAGGGUCUCUCCGAAGGUGGUGUUAACCAUGAAGUAUCCAGGCUGUCAGGUGGAAGACUUGCAGGUUGGGAUGGAGGAAGCAGCUGGGGUCCCAAGAAAGAGAGAAGGCGCACAGGAGGGGAUCCUUCCAGGUCCAGCUGGGGAGUUCCCCAGAGCUGGAAGAUGGAUCUAGCCAUAUCCCAGCAUAAUGACCACUCAUGGAGAUCAGAGAAGGUCCUUCUUAGCUGAUCCACCAACUGUUCUGCUUCCCUGGAAGAAUUGAUUUGUCCCAAUUUACUUGGAGCCUCCAUGCAAUGAAUGUGGACAGGACAGUGGAUACACUAAAGCCUCAGACUAACCUCUGAUCAACCAAUCAUCCAGGUACAGUAACAUGUGGGCUCCUAAUUUUCAUAGAUGUGCUGCCACCAUUGCCAUGCACUUCGUGAACACCAGAGAAGCAGCUGAGAGACCGUGAACUGAUAAUGGGACCCAUUUGCCAAAAAUCUGAGAAGCUUCCAAUGGUUGUGGCAUAUUGCGACAUGGAAAUAAGCCUCUUUAAAUUGAGUGUACCAGUCUCCCUGUUCCAGGGGGAGAACAAUUGAGGCUAGGGUAACCAUGCGGAAUUUUAUUUUCUUCAGGAAUUUGUUAAUCUCUCUUAGAUCUAAAAUAGGCCUGAGACCUCCUUUUGCUUUGGGGAUCAGGAAGUGGCAGGAAUAGAAGCCUUUCCCCCUGAAGAAGCAACUGGACCUCCUGCUGAAGGACGAUCUCCUGAGAGUGGUCCCUGAAGAGGGAGGGGGAAAAGGGGUGGGAAGAUUCAAUGAUCUGAUGUUACAUGGGCCCAAGCACUUUAAAAGCAGGAUAAGUGAUUUGUAAACAAAGGUGGAAAACUGAUAGACUUACUUUAACUGGUACACUGCCCUCGACCAACCCAUCAAAAUGCCUGUUUGGAUGAGGCAGCUGGAUGGGAUGAGCCAGUUGAUGCUGAAGAGGAGGGCAGUGGAGGUCGUCUCUUAUAACCCCCACCCUUUCUCAUCAGCAAACCUUGAGAAUGGGGAACAAAUCGCUGGUGUCUGUAUGACUGUUGUGGAUGGAACUGUUUCUUCUUUGUCGCCAGAUUAUAGAUUCCAAGUGAUUUUUAAUGUCACCAUGGAAUCUUUUAGGCUAUGGAGCCUAUCAUCCAUCUUAUCUGAAAACAAGGAAGGACCAUCAAAAGGGAAGUCCUGGAUGGUCAGCUGGACUUCAGAGGGAGCCCAGAUGACUGCAAUCACAAACAUUCUGUCAUAGAAAUAGCUGAUGACAUGGUUCGACCAGCCAAGUCUGCGCCAUCUAAACUGCCUUAGAGAGCAGUUCUGGCAACUAGCUUGCCCUCAUCCACCAUUACUGCAAAUGACUGCAUGUCUUCUGGUAGCUUGUCUUUAAAUUUUAUAAUGUUCUCCCAGAAGGUGAAAUCAGAGCAACUCAGGAG